rnacentral:rRNA from 1 species
AACGAACGCUGGCGGCAUGCCUAACACAUGCAAGUCGAACGAUUGCCUUCGGGUGUUAGUGGCGCACGGGUGCGUAACGCGUGGGAAUCUGCCCUUAGGUUCGGAAUAACAGCUGGAAACGGCUGCUAAUACCGGAUGAUAUCGCGAGAUCAAAGAUUUAUCGCCUGAGGAUGGGCCCGCGUUGGAUUAGGUAGUUGGUGGGGUAAAGGCCUACCAAGCCGACGAUCCAUAGCUGGUCUGAGAGGAUGAUCAGCCACACUGGGACUGAGACACGGCCCAGACUCCUACGGGAGGCAGGAGUGGGGAAUAUAGGACAAUGGGCGCAAGCCUGAUCCAGCAAGGCCGCGUAAGUGAUGAAGGCCGUAGGGUUGUAAAGCUCUUUUACCCGGGAAGAUAAUGACUGUACCGGGAGAAUAAGCCCCGGCUAACUCCGUG